ACAGAACAGGAUAAUUGAUUGAUUGAUCCAUCCACUGUCAUCCCGUCCCAACUUCUGGCAUUUGGAGGUUUAGGGAUAUUUAUAGCAUGGGGUUGAAUCCCUGACCAUCUUGGCUAAUAGCCAUUGAUGGGACCUAUCCUCCAUGAACUUAUUGAAUGCUUUUUUUAACCCCAUUAUAGUUUUGGCCUUCA